CACCGCCCGUCACACCAUGGGAGUUGGUUUCACCCGAAGGCAGUGCGCUAACCGCAAGGAGGCAGCUGACCACGGUGGGAUCAGCGACUUGGGGGUG
rnacentral:rRNA from 1 species